rnacentral:rRNA from 1 species
AUGCACGCUGGCGGCGUGCCUAAUACAUGCAAGUCGCGCGAACAGACGAGGAGCUUGCUCCUCUGACGUUAGCGGCGGACGGGUGAGUAACACGUGGAUAACCUACCUAUAAGACUGGGAUAACUUCGGGAAACCGGAGCUAAUACCGGAUAAUAUAUUGAACCGCAUGGUUCAAUAGUGAAAGACGGUUUUGCUGUCACUUAUAGAUGGAUCCGCGCCGCAUUAGCUAGUUGGUAAGGUAACGGCUUACCAAGGCGACGAUGCGUAGCCGACCUGAGAGGGUGAUCGGCCACACUGGAACUGAGACACGGUCCAGACUCCUACGGGAGGCAGCAGUAGGGAAUCUUCCGCAAUGGGCGAAAGCCUGACGGAGCAACGCCGCGUAAGUGAUGAAGGUCUUCGGAUCGUAAAACUCUGUUAUUAGGGAAGAACAAAUGUGUAAGUAACUAUGCACGUCUUGACGGUACCUAAUCAGAAAGCCACGGCUAACUACGUG